rnacentral:rRNA from 1 species
GAUGAACGCUGGCGGCGUGCCUAAUACAUGCAAGUCGAGCGAACAGACGAGGAGCUUGCUCCUCUGACGUUAGCGGCGGACGGGUGAGUAACACGUGGAUAACCUACCUAUAAGACUGGGAUAACUUCGGGAAACCGGAGCUAAUACCGGAUAACAUGUUGAACCGCAUGGUUCAACAGUGAAAGACGGUCUUGCUGUCACUUAUAGAUGGAUCCGCGCCGCAUUAGCUAGUUGGUAAGGUAAAGGCUUACCAAGGCAACGAUGCGUAGCCGACCUGAGAGGAGGCGCAGCCAAAAGGGAACUGAGACACGGUCCAGACUCCGACGGGAGGCAGCAGUGGGGAAUAUUGGACAAUGGGCGCAAGCCUGAUCAAGCCAUACCGGGUGGGUGAAGAAGGCCUUCGGGUUGUAAAGCCCUUUUGUUGGGAAAGAAAAGCAGCAGGUUAAUACCCCGCUGUUCUGACGGUACCCAAAGAAUAAGCACCGGCUAACUUCGUG